UACGUAGGGGGCAAGCGUUGUCCGGAUUUAUUGGGCGUAAAGAGCGUGUAGGCGGUUAGGUAGGUCCGUUGUGAAAACCCGAGGCUCAACCUCGGGCCUGCAGUGGGUACGGGCAGACUAGAGUGCGGUAGGGGAGAUUGGAAUUCCUGGUGUAGCGGUGGAAUGCGCAGAUAUCAGGAGGAACACCAAUGGCGAAGGCAGAUCUCUGGGCCGUAACUGACGCUGAGGAGCGAAAGCAUGGGGAGCGAACAGG
rnacentral:rRNA from 1 species